ACGUAGGCAGCGAGCGUUGUUCGGAAUUACUGGGCGUAAAGAGUGUGUAGGCGGUGCUCCCAGUCUGUUGUGAAAUCUCCCGGCUUAACCGGGAGGGUGCGGCGAAUACUGAGAUGCUGGAGUGCCGGAGAGGUAAGCGGAAUUCCUGGUGUAGCGGUGAAAUGCGUAGAUAUCAGGAGGAACACCUGCGGUGUAGACGGCUUACUGGACGGUAACUGACGCUGAGGCACGAAAGCGUGGGUAGCAAACAGGA
rnacentral:rRNA from 1 species